UUCUGGUCAAAAACCUAGCAACCCUAUAAAUACACCAACACAUAUUUCACUUCAACAAACAAAAAGUAAGGUUUUCUGUUCUUUUCUCCAAAACCUGAGAUAAAGACCCAGUUGUAUUGGGGUUUGCAGCCAUAUACCAUAUUGUAUCACAAUGCGUGUGUUUUUUUUUUGUUAUGUUUUUUUUUUUUCAGAAACGCAACUGAUCAUUACAAAAGCCUAAAUAUAACAUAAAACAUAACAUUAGUCACGUACAAAAACAGGGCCCAAUAUGCAUACAUAAUAUAUACUAAUGAUAUAUACUUUUUGUUUUAAAAGUUUCAGUUUUAGCAUAGCUUAUAGCACAUUAAAAGCAAACAUGAAAUAUGACAUAUGUUUUGAUUUAAAACAAUUCAACAGACUGGGAUAAUUGGAUUCCUAAGGAGGAGGAUGUACAACAGCACUCCUUCAGUAUCCAACAGAGGCAGAAAACCUGGUAUUAAAUGUAAUAAAAAGGCUCAGAUGGAAAGGGAAGAUAGUUUCAGUUCUGGGUCCUCUUGUAUGGAAGCAUCAGCUGAAGAAGAAACAAGUGGAGUUCAUAAAGCAGGCAGAUUACAGCACCCAGAAGGAAGUAUUUCACAAAUCUGCAGCUUUCAGAAAGUGAAUAACUGCAAAGACAGUUUGACAGGUGAGAAACCUCCAGACAGAGCCCAAGAGGCAAUUGAAAAUGAUCUGAGUAAAUGCAGUGAGAAUGCCUCACCUGAGAGGAUCAAGCAACUCCUUCGUCUUUCUUUUGAUGCCAGGCCGAAGAAGAUAGAAAACCUCAAAGUGCAACGUGUGGAAGAAAUUAAUAAAAUGUAUCCUUGCUUCAAGAAGCCC